CCUUGAUCUAUCUUUAACUAUUCACGGGAUCAAGGAGGAGUUCUUAUCUUACUUCUCAUCCUUAUUUCAUCGAUUAGAGAUCAUGGUUCUGUAGAUCCAUGUGUACAACAACUCUUGGUCAUUCUAGAAAAAGAAAAAAAAUAUCAGACUAAUAUUUAUUGGUAACUCUAUCUCUCUUUGAAAGCUUCUAACUUUAUAACUCUCCGCAAUUAAGAACUCUAGUCUCACCCCUCUCAUCUUCCUUACCUAGAUCAACCUUGCCUCUCUAUCUUGUGACUAAAACAUCCCUUGAACGACCAUCUUCUUGGUUUAUAAAAAGGUCAUUCAUAAUCAACCUUCUGCAUUCAUACCACUACCAUCUUUUACCUCUUUAACCCUAUCCCAGCUUUCAUCAUCUACAUUUUAGCAACCACAGUGGGAGGUGGUUAUUCAGUCACAGUAGAUAAUCAUGGUUUUCAUCAGGGAGGAUAUUGAUUUCCAACCACCAACCAACACAAAAAUAAAAACUCAUAAACCUAGAUCUGAACUUUAAAGGAAGGUUUUUUUGCCGACUUGCAGAAUACUUUCAUAUUAAUGAAAGAACGGGGAUAAUGAGGUGCAUCUUCGCAGCACGCGGACAGCCACACAUCUAUCACAGACAUGUUUAAGAAGAGAAUUCUAUAUUAAUGUCCCUCUCGUUAGUCGAAUGCUCAUCUUCAGUAAAGUAUGAUACUCUAAGUCGCAUAAUCUCGUCCUUCAUAGCAACAUCGUCCGAGUGGUUCCGUUUUUCUGAUACCCACUAUUAAAUCUCGAUAAUAUUGGCUAAAAAUUUAUACAAGCUCCGAAAGACUCAAAACAAUCUUACGAGAGCUCAUUUCGACAUCCUGACUCAUCUGAAGACAUUUGCUAAACAACCAUUGGAGUUAGAUCUUAAAAAUCUAUUAAAUGAGAUUACUUGAAAUUACAAAAUUAUUGAUCUUUACUUUUCUCUCUUUAUCUUUUCCCUUUCUAAAUGAAGACCUUACCCUCCAUUGUCGCCGCCUGCUUAAACCGGCUUCUUUGGAAAUGAUCUGAGCAGUUCUAAUACUUUUUCGAUCUACAACCUCUGAUAAUCUUAAGGUCAUUAUCUGAGCAGCGCGUGCUCCAAGUUUGGUGAUGAGAUUUCCAGCCGGGUCGACAGCUCCGACAAGUUUUCUGGCGAGUUUUUAAUAUUUCGGCCGGUAAAGAUUUUGAUAAAUCACACUAAUUAUAAGAGAUUUGAGAAAAUCACUCAUAUUUUGGGAGACAAACUAAAUGAUUGGAUAGUAAUUCCAGCAAAAAUAAUUCUUCCUCAGAUUUUAAUCGGAUCUUAUUCAUACUUGUAUUUAUGUUACUCUAGUAAUCCUUCUCUUUCUUUUAUCGGAUUUCUCGGUAUUAUACUUUUACGGUAUGUUCUUGUUAAUCUGAAUUCUAUUAUUCUUUAUCUUAAACUAGUUAUAAAAAAAAAGAACUUUGUGUUCCUUGUUUAUAAAAGAACGCGCGAUUAUGGGAUAGAGGAAAAGGAUAAAAACUGGAUUAAAUAUCAAAUCAGGAUCACUCCUUAUCUAAGUAUUUUAUAUAAUUCCUAAUCUACCUCUCACUAAUCAGGUUUAAUGUUUAAUUAUAAUUAGGAAAAAUCUUAAGUAUUUGUUAAAUGAUUAGUGUGUAUUUUUAUUUGUAUUUGGGUGAGUGAUGUGAGAGUAGAAGGAGGGAAAAAGUAUUUGAGAGGGAAUUUUUUUUGGUGAAAUGGAGGAUGAUUGUAAUCAGUGUCUCGUAGAAAUUUUUUCUGGUUUUGAAAUUCAAAACCUAUUCCGUUUUGAUUUUUUCUGGUUUUAAUUAGUCCACUGCCGGCACAGUUAGUUAAUUCUCGAGCAUGCUGGUACUGCUAACGGCAUAAUAUGUUGCUUAAAUUUCUUUGCCGGCACAUGAUGUAAAGUAUCCAGAAAAUUAUAAAAAAUUUCACUUGACUA